GUAGGGAAUAUUGCACAAUGGAGGAAACUCUGAUGCAGCGACGCCGCGUGAGUGAUGAAGGCCUUCGGGUCGUAAAGCUCUGUCGCAGGGGAAUAACACAAUGAAGGUACCCUGUAAGAAAGGAUCGGCUAACUUCGUGCCAGCAGCCGCGGUAAGACGAGGGAUCCUAGCGUUGUUCGGAAUCAUUGGGCGUAAAGCGGAUGUAGGUGGCUAUGUAAGUCAGAUGUGAAAGCCUGGGGCUCAACCCCAGAAGUGCAUUUGAUACUGCGUAGCUUGAGUGUCGGAGAGGUUACUAGAAUUGUUGGUGUAGUGGUGAAAUACGUAGAUAUCAACAGGAAUACCGGAGGCGAAGGCGGGUAACUGACCGAACACUGACACUGAGAUCCGAAAGCGUGGGGAUCAAACAGGAUUAGAUACCCUGGUAGUCC
rnacentral:rRNA from 1 species